rnacentral:lncRNA from 1 species
CCCUAAUGUUCCCUUCCACCUUGUGGAAGUUUUGUUCUUUCGCUCUUUGCAAUAAAUCCCAUUGUUGCUCGCUCUUUGGGGUCUCACUGUCUGUGCGAGCUGUAAUACUCGCCGCAAAGGUGUCUGGCUUCACUUCCGAGACCAGCGAGACCCCGAACCCACCGGGAGGAAUGAACAACUCCGGAUGGGAGGGACAAACAACACCAGACGCACCGCCUUAAGAGUCCUAACGCUCACCGCGGAGGUCUGCGGCUUCACUCUUGAAUGAAGCCAGCGAGAUCACAAACCCACCAGAAGGAAGGAACUCUGAACACAUCCGAAAAUCAGAAGGAACAAACUCCGGACACACUACCUUUAAGAACUGUAACACUCAAAUCGCGAGGGUCCACGGCUUCGUUCUUGAAGUCAGUGAGACCAAGAACCCACAAAUUCCGGACACUUCCCCACACAGAGGGAACUGGCCUAACACUCUGAAUCUACAUCAAGGAACUCAAGCGCUCUUGUUGUCUUCCUGGGCAGGUGGUGCCAAUAGGAUGUACUGACAGAUCAGAAGUGGUCGUGAGAGAAGGAGCAAGUAGCCAGAAGAGUGAAGUGUGCACUGGCUGAGAUGUGGGAGCAGGUGUUGUUGGUUUCCCCGGAGUCUUAUGUAUCAACAAAAUCACACCAGACCACCCAAAGCUGGCCCUGCCAACUGACCACACACACCCCUGCCUGAAAGGCAUGUUUCAAUGUGCAACAGACGCCUGCCACUCAGGGGACAUCAAAUGUUCAUGAGAACUCGCUAACCUCGAAACAGGUUCUACAAAUUCAAAAAAACCACCCGUGGCCUGGCUCUGGGCUGAAGCUGAGUCCUGGCUUGAAAUCCCCUGCCUUAAUCUCUCUUCGAAGACUUUUCUGCAUUCAUCUGAGUCCUCAUCCUCCAAGGCAGGGCUCAGGCUUGGGCUCAGGCUCCCAGCCAUGUAUCCCUCCUGGACCAUUCCUGACUCCUUUCCAGUAUCCUUAUCACUUGUACCACAUACGUUGGCCUUUGAUCCUGUGUACUGUUGGAUUUGUCUUUACUUCACAGGUUCAUCUUGUCUCCCCAAGAACAAUGAGAGUUGCCUCAAGGGGUAGAACCAUGCUUUUUGUUUUCUUUUGAAUUCAUUACAGCACAGCCAAAAGCUCAACACACAAAACACACUCAGUAAAUAUCUGUUGAACAGAAUAAAAGCCAUUCCGCAUAACCAA